AGGGCAGCAAGGGACAAAGAGUAGCAACAUUAAAGGUAAAAUGACUUAAUUAGUGGGGGAAAAGAAAAAGACUUUGAAGAGGCUGUUUUUGUUUCCAGGGUUGAAUGGAACUACAUACACUUUCAAGAUGAACAGUACCACAAAGUCCGCCAGAAGUUUGCUACAUUCUAAAGCAAGGAGACGUGCUAAUAUGCAGCAAGAAAAUUACCUAAAAGAAUUAAAUGAGGAUCUGAAACUAAGAAAAGAGGAGUUGGUGGCGAUACUGAAACCCUUGGAAGAGAAGAAUGGCACCUUACUUCAGAACUUAAUGACAAAUUUAGAGGAAAAACAAAAGAGUCUACAGAUCAUGAGGCAGAUCAUGGUAGCAAAAGGGGAUGAUUCCGAUGAUACCAUUGUCCUGGAGAUGAUCCAAGAAGCAGAAGAGCUAAAACAGAACCUGGAAAGAAAAAAUAUGUUGCUUCGAAGAGAAAUGGAUUUGCUAUGGAACAAGCAAGCAAUUGAAGAUGAGCAUCGUUGUCAACAGAAAGAAAUGCUACUCAAAAGCAAGGCAGAAAUGAAAGCGUUAAAGGAGAAGCUCCAGAGGCAAAAGGAUAUGAUCACUUUUCAACGGGAACCUGACAAACUUCAGGAACUUCAUGGUAAAGUGAUUGAGGAGAACAUUGAUACAAUGAUGAACCCUCAGGCAAAUGACCUUUUACUACAUGAUCUGAGUGAGAAUUUGGAGACAUCUGAAGACUGCUCCAAAUUUCAUAGUACCUCAAGGUAAAAACUAGCCUAGCCUACAUGACAAGGACUUAGUAGAUGUUAGACCAGGCCUGCUUUAACAGGUAUUCCAGAUCCUCCGGCAGUGGGCAGAAAUCAAUCUCUGAAUGUGGGAGUUUAAGGAGCAGAGACCUUAGUAGAAGAUCCAGAUUCUAAGGAAAAUCUGGAUGAUGAUGUAAGCAGGGAGUUUAAGGAACGAAGAUCUUAGUGGAAGACUCAGGAACUAAGGAAAGUUUGGUUAGGCUCUUUUCUCUGGAUCUGCACCAGGCUGAAGCUUUGCCAAGUUCAGAUGACAUUCUGAAGAUUAGGUGGUUUAAACUUUGCUUUGGACUUUAAAACAGGACCUGGCAUUUUGUAUUAAUUAAAACAUCCCUGCAAUUUUCUCCUGCUA